UAGGGAAUCUUCCACAAUGGACGAAAGUCUGAUGGAGCAACGCCGCGUGAGUGAAGAAGGGUUUCGGCUCGUAAACUCUGUUGUUAAAGAAGAACAUAUCUGAGAGUAACUGCUCAGGUAUUGACGGUAUUUAACCAGAAAGCCGCGGCUAACUACGUGCCAG
rnacentral:rRNA from 1 species